rnacentral:lncRNA from 1 species
AUCUCUCCUGCUUUGCAACCUACUUUGGAAGUUGAUGUUCACCAUCCUUCAGCUUCUUCAGAUAGUACAGUUGAGGGAGAUGAUACUGAAACCCCACUGUAUGCGACUUUAUCCUUUUCUUCCCUUGUGCAUCAGGAGAACCCCACUGCUACACCUAACUCUUUCAACACUUUAUCCACAUUAGUAGACUCGCAGUCUAUUCCCAC